GCCAGGCGUGUGGCACACGCCUGUAAUCCCAGCAGCUGGGAGGCUGAGGCAGGAGGAUCGUGAGUUCAAAGCCAGCCUCAGCCAAAGCUAGAUGAUAAGCAACUCAGUGAGACCCUGUCUCUA
rnacentral:sRNA from 1 species